AGCGGGGUGGAGCAGUGGUAGCUCGCUUGGUUCAUAACCAUAAGGUCGGCGGUUCAAGUCCGCCCCCUGCUACCA
rnacentral:tRNA from 1 species